rnacentral:rRNA from 1 species
CCCUUAGAUGUUCUGGGCUGCACGCGCGCGACAAUGACGUUUGCAACGAGAUUGCGAGGCCGUCAGGUCGAGCUGAUCUUGCAAGCUGCGUCGUGAUAGGGACAGUCGAUUGCAAUUAUUCGACUCGAACGAGGAAUUCCUUGUAAUCGCGCAUCAUCAGUGCGCGCUGAAUACGUCCCUGCCCUUUGUACACACCGCCCGUCGCUCCUACCGAUGGGUGAUCCGGUGAAUGAUUCGGACUUCAGCGGCUCCCCUGGGGUGCGCCGGAGAAAGUUUUGUGAACCUUAUCACUUGGAGGAAGGAGAAGUCGUAACA